GAACCUACUCAUGCAGGCUUAAAAUUUUAUUCACUUGAGGGCUCACACUGGCUCGGGUCUGGCUUAAGUCAGAAUCAGUCUGACCCAGGACCCCGUCUGGCUUCUAAAUCGGAACCGUCCAAGCCUGGAACCAGUCUGACCCUGAACCCAUCCGGUUUCUAAGUCCUACCCAGUCCUACUCUAGCCGGUUUUUGGACCCACUCCAGAAAAAGAGGUGCUCCAGUUUUGCGGAAGCUCAUGAGCAAAACCUGGAGAGAGACACAGACCCAUGUAGAGGGAAGCCCAUCUGAGGACACAAUGAGAAGGCGGCCAUCUGCAAGCCAAGGAGGAAGGCCUCGGGAGAAACCACCACCACCAGGACCUUGACCCUGGACUUCCAGCCUCCAGAACUGUGCCCACACUAGAAACCCAAGCCCACAACCUCUACCUGGAUCUCUCUGCUUAUGGGAUUGAGGUUACUUCUGUAGCAAAGGAAUCCCCAGAGUCCCAACAAGCAAACAACUUGGUUUCCACCUGAAAAUCUAUGGAACCUUCUGCUACCGAUAGAUUGCUUUGGCAUGUCCAGCUUCCGAUUCCGGUGUUGUUAAGAGUUCUCUGUCAUCCUCUCAGCUCCUUGGUAAGUACGGAGAGACCAGGGUAGGGAAGUAUUUGGUUUCUGUCAUCUAAGAAACUUUAAGUACUUUAAACUUUACUUCUUGUGUUUUCAUUUUCAAAUAAAGAUUGUCAUCAAUAAUGCUAUUAUAUAAAAAUACGUAAGCAGCAUUUAUUGAUUUCUAAAGAGAAGUUCUAUAACUCUAAGCCAGAGGUUUAAAAAAAAGUUUCCAAACACACUAUUGAUAAAUCCACUCAAUUGUCAUAUUCCUAAAGGACAAAUUUCCUGAAAUUUGAAUUAGAUCCUUUAUUUUUUAGUGAUCUAUUGCUGUGUAACAAAUGACCCCUGAAAUUAUGGGCUUAAAACAACACUUACAUCACAGUGUCUGUGGGUCAGGAAUCCAGGUGUAAUGAAGCUGGUUUCCUAUGGUUCAGGGUUUCUCACAAGGCUGCAGUGAAGAGGUUGGCCAGGCCUGAGGAUAUCUCAAGGCUUAACUGGGGCCCUUGUGUGUGCGUAUGUGGGUGUCACUCUGUUCUCAAGCUCAUUCACAUGGCUCUUGGCAGGAGGUAUCAGAUCUCUGCAUGCAGACCUCACCGUAUGGCAGCUAAUGACAUGGCAGAUGGCUUCCCUCAGUGUGAGGAAGCAGAGAGGAGCAAGGCUGAACACACAAUAUGGAAGCCACAGCCUUUGUAUGACCUAAUAUUGGAUGGGCAGUCCCAUUCCUUCUGUCAUGUUGUCCUCACUGGAAGAGAGUCGAUCCACAGAGUCCAGAUUCAAGGGCUGCGUAUGACACGAGGGCAUGAAUACAAGGAGAUGGGGAUCACUGGGGCCACCUUACAGGCUGCCUUUCAUACCCUAUGAGCAUUAAGUCAGGGGUGUGCUUAUUUAACACAACAUUAUUAUUAUGACUAGACUAAAUAGCUCAAGAGCAUAUUGGAUUUUUUUUCCUGGGCUUAUUGUUAACAAAAGUUAUUAAGAAUGAAAUAUUUGGGGGGAAAUAUAAAGGAAAAGGGAGGAAGGGAAUGAAUCUUCAUUCCCUCAUAUGUACACACUUCUGUUUUUGUCUUCAGUUCUCAUGCAAAUACAUAAA